GACGUAGGAGGCAAGCGUUGUUCGGAAUUACUGGGCGUAAAGCGUCCGUAGGCGGGUCGGGAAGUGGAUAGUUAAAACCCGGGGCUCAACCCCGUGGGUGCUAUCCAGACUGCCGGUCUGGAGGUCGGCAGAGGGUAAUGGAAUUCCCGGUGUAGCGGUGAAAUGCGUAGAUAUCGGGAGGGACACCAGUGGCGUAAGCGAUUACAUGGGCUAGACCUGACGCUGAGGGACGAAGGCGUGGGAAGCAAACGGG
rnacentral:rRNA from 1 species